rnacentral:snRNA from 1 species
AAUCUUGCGCAGUGGCAAUAUCGUAACCAAUGAAGGUCUCCUGAGGUGCGAUUAUUGCUAGUUGAAACAUUUAGGAUACUAUAAUUUCUUUUUAAAGGUUUGUGCUUCGAAAGGAUGCCACAUUGCAAGCAGG